ACCAGACUCCUACGGGAGGCAGCAGUGGGGAAUAUUGCACAAUGGGGGGAACCCUGAUGCAGCGACGCCGCGUGAGUGGAGAAGUAUUUCGGUAUGUAAAGCUCUAUCAGCAGGGAAGAAAAUGACGGUACCUGACUAAGAAGCCCCGGCUAACUACGUGCCAGCAGCCGCGGUAAUACGUAGGGGGCAAGCGUUAUCCGGAUUUACUGGGUGUAAAGGGAGCGCAGACGGCUGUGCAAGUCUGGAGUGAAAGGCGGGGGCCCAACCCCCGGACUGCUCUGGAAACUGUAAAGCUGGAGUGCAGGAGAGGUAAGCGGAAUUCCUAGUGUAGCGGUGAAAUGCGUAGAUAUUAGGAGGAGCACCAGUGGCGAAGGCGGCUUACUGGACUGUAACUGACGUUGAGGCUCGAAAGCGUGGGGAGCAAACAGGAUUAGAUACCCUCGUAAAA
rnacentral:rRNA from 1 species